AAACCGUUGAAAGGGAAGCGAAUGGAGUUAGCAAUUCGCCCUGUCAGACUCAGCCGCUCGCGAGCAGCGACGUGCGCGUUCUCGAUCCCUAUAGACGAGACGCGUGCGGGUGCAACUUGCGGACGGCGCACUUCUGGCGGGCGAGCGUCAGCGUCGGUUGUCGACGGGCGAGAAGGUCGCGAGGAAGGUGGACCGGCCUAACGGCCGGUUGUUAAAGCCUCGCGCUCGCACGGCCCGACGGCGACCGUGGCUUGUGAAGGCGACGCGUGCCUGGCUGGCGACUCGCUCGAUCGGUCCGGCAUGUCGACCGUGGCGGACGGCACGCCUGUGCGCUCGAAAUGCUGCCGGUCGAUCGGACGAUGUUCGCACACUACGCGUCGAAGGUGCUGACGACCAUACGGCUCCAUCCGACCCGUCUUGAAACACGGACCAAGGAGUCUAACAUGUGCGCAAGUCUCCGGGCGAAAGAAACCCGUGGGCGCAAUGAAAGUGAAGAUCGUCCCAGACGAUUGAGGUGAGAAGCCGGCGCCUUGUGCUCUGGCCGCAUCAUCGACCGACCUGUUCUGCUCUCAGAAAGGUUUGAGUAAGAGCGUAUCUGUUGGGACCCGAAAGAUGGUGAACUAUGCCUGAAUAGGGUGAAGCCAGCGGAAACACUG
rnacentral:rRNA from 1 species